rnacentral:lncRNA from 10 species
AGCCUGGGUGACAGAGUGAGAUCCUAUCUCAAACAAAAAGUACAUAAAUAGUCCAGGCGCCAUGGCUCACUCCCAGCAUUUUGGGAGGCCAAGGCGGGUGGAUCACUUGAGGUCAGGAGUUCGAGACCAGCCUGGCCAACAUGGUGAAACCUUGUCUCUACUAAAACUACAAAAAAUUAGCCGGGUGUGGUGGUAUGUGCCUGUAGUCCCAGCUACUUGGGAAGCUGAGGCAGGAGAAUCGCUUGAACCCAGGAGGAAGAAGUUGCAGUGAGCCGAGAUCAUGCCACAGCACUCUAGCCUGUGCGACAGAGCGAGACUCCAUCUUAAAAAAAAAAAAAGAAAAGAAAAAGUACAUAAAUAAAUAAUUAAGAGAGGCUAUUCAUGAAGGAAAACCAAAUGGCCAAUAUAUGAAAAGGUGUUUAAUAUCUUCAGUCAUCAGGAAAACACAAAAGACCACAAUAAGCUACCACUACAUUCUCACCAGUUAGCAAAAAUUCAGGACUGACAAUGUUAGGUGUCUGAGAAUCGAAGCGUGGUACCUACUGCAAAGUGUGAACGGCUCUGCCCAGGGGGCUCUUCUAAAACUUUGGUGAGCAGCAGCCUGGUGGCCUCCCACUUGGCACCAUUUCACAACAAUCUACCUCUGGUUACAUGCACAUGGCAGAGCUGAAAAGUGGUCCCAAGUGUGCGGCCAUCAGGCUGCUGUUCACCAGAGUCCUGGAAGAGGCCCCUGGGUGGAGCUGUUCACACUUUGCAGGAGUCACUAUGCUGAUUCUCAAGCCAGCCAGGAAGGCUGCCUGAGAGUCCAGGACAGGAGCAUGCACUGGCAUGUCCCAUGACCAUGUGUCACGCCCCAGCCGCAGGAAGCAUGCAGGGUGCCUGAGUCAUGUUUGGCCAUGGGCGGUGUGUGUGGUUUGUGGAGAUGACUCGCUGGCUACACACAACACAUUCAGGCAUGGGGUGGAAAACCCAAACAGAGCCUUCCUGAG